CAGGCCUAACACAUGCAAGUCGAACGAUGCUUUCGGGCAUAGUGGCGCACGGGUGCGUAACGCGUGGGAAUCUGCCCCUUGGUUCGGAAUAACAGCUAUAAAUGGCUGCUAAUACCGGAUGACGACGUAAGUCCAAAGAUUUAUCGCCGAGGGAUGAGCCCGCGUAGGAUUAGCUUGUUGGUGAGGUAAUGGCUCACCAAGGCGUCCACGGGUAGCCGGCCUGAGAGGGUGACCGGCCACACUGGGACUGAGACACGGCCCAGACUCCUACGGGAGGCAGCAAUGGGGAAUAUUGCACAAUGGGCGGAAGCCUGAUCCAGCCAUGCCGCGUGAGUGAUGAAGGCCUUACGGUUGUAAAGCUCUUUUGUCCGGGACGAUAAUGACGGUACCGGAAGAAUAAGCCCCGGCUAACUUCGUGCCAGCAGCCGCGGUAAU
rnacentral:rRNA from 1 species